rnacentral:lncRNA from 1 species
CUACCAUCAUCACCACCAUCAUCACUACCAUCAUCACAACUGUUGUGACUACCAUCACCACUACAAUCAUCACAGCUAUUGUCACUACCAUUCACCACCAUUAUCACCAACACUAUCACUCCUGACUCUACUGAUCAUUGAUCAAGCAGAUCCAUCCAUUCCGUUUUUAUGUAGAUGAUGAGCCAGAUGAAGAAGGCAGUCCUCAACACUAUGUUCUCAUUCAUGGUUUCCUCUCUGCACCCACCCUACAACAUCUUGCAAACAUUGGUGUUCAUGUGAAUGCCAUUAUCAAACUACAACAAGAUGAAUACAGAACUGAACCUCCAGCACAUCUCACAGAAGAAAUUCAUGAGGAUGUCGAAGCUGAGCCUGAG